rnacentral:rRNA from 1 species
GACAGAGGUGCCGAGCGUUAGGCGGAAUCACUGGGCUUAAAGCGUGUGUAGGCGGGCGAUCAAGUACCUUGUGAAAUCCCACGGCUCAACCGUGGAACCGCUGGGUAUACUGGUUGUCUUGAGCCGGCUAGGGGCGAGCGGAACAGACGGUGGAGCGGUGAAAUGCGUAGAGAUCCGGAAGAACACCGGUGGCGAAGGCGGCCUGCUGGGCAGUAGCUGACGCUGAUGCGCGACAGCGUGGGGAGCAAACAGG